GGAGGGUGCAAGCGUUGUCCGGAUUUAUUGGGUUUAAAGGGUACGUAGGCGGGCUAAUAAGUCUGAGGUGAAAGCUCUCGGCUCAACCGGGAAAUUGCCUUGGAUACUGUUAGUCUUGAGUACAGUAGAGGUGGGCGGAAUUCAUGGUGUAGCGGUGAAAUGCAUAGAUACCAUGAGGAACACCGAUAGGGAAGCCAGCUCACUGGACUGUUACUGACGCUGAGGUACGAAAGCGUGGGGAGCGAACAGGAUUAGAUACCCUGGUAGUCCACGCCGUAAACGAUGCUCACUCGAUGUAUGCGAUAGAAUGUAUGCGUCCUAGCGAAAGCUAUAAGUGAGCCACCUGGGGAGUACGUUGGCAACAAUG
rnacentral:rRNA from 1 species